CCUACGGGAGGCAGCAGUGAGGAAUAUUGGUCAAUGGGCGGGAGCCUGAACCAGCCAAGUCGCGUGAGGGAAGACGGUCCUAUGGAUUGUAAACCUCUUUAGGCGGGGAGAAUGCCGGGCACGCGUGCCCGGAGGGAGAGUACCCGCAGAAUAAGCAUCGGCUAACUCGGUGCCAGCAGCCGCGGUAAUACGGAGGAUGCGAGCGUUAUCCGGAUUUAUUGGGUUUAAAGGUUGCGUAGGCGGAUUUUUAAGUCAGCGGUAAAAUGGCGGGGCUCAACCCCGGCCAGCCGUUGAAACUGGGGAUCUUGAGUGGGAGAGAGGUAUGCGGAAUGCGUGGUGUAGCGGUGAAAUGCAUAGAUAUAGCGCAGAACUCCGAUUGCGAAGGCAGCAUACCGGCGCCCGACUGACGCUGAGGCACGAAAGCGUGGGGAGCGAACAGGAUUAGAUACCCGGGUAGUC
rnacentral:rRNA from 1 species